GUGCUCACUUUGGCAGCACAUAUACUAAAACUGGAAAGAUACAAGAAGAUUAGCAUGGCCCCCAUGCAAGGACGACACAUUAAACCACAUCAUCCUGGGUUUU
rnacentral:snRNA from 1 species